GGCGGAAUUGGCAGACGCGCUGGACUCAAAAUCCAGUGUCCGUUGAGGACGUGCCGGUUCGACCCCGGCC
rnacentral:tRNA from 1 species